UUACAUUUUAUAUAUAUUUUAUAUAUAUAUUAUAUAUGGUGUUGGUGGUUUGGUCUCAAAGUCUUGUCUGACUUUUGCAACCCCAUGAACUAUAGUCUACAAGGUUCCUCUGCCCACGGAAUUUCCCAGGCAAGAAUACUGGAGUUGGUUGCCAUUUCGUCCUCCAGGGGAUCUUCCCGACCCAAGGAUCAAACCUGUGUCUCCUCUAUUGCAGGCAGGUUCUUGACCGACUAAGUCACCAAAGGUCUAUCUAUCUAUCUACAUACGCACACGCACACACACACACACGCACACACACAAACACCCACACACACCCCAUUUAGUAAAACAAUUAAUCCUUUCCCUCAGAUCUUUAAUCUUUAUUCCUCAUCUUUUAAAAUUACUAAGGAGUUUAUUUGAACAACUGAGGGUCCUAAUGGUAUGUAAAGUACCAUGAUAUCUAAUAUUAGAAAUGUUAAAAGCAUGAAAAAAUAUGGUUUCAGGACAAUAGACGCUUAGAUAGAGCUGGCCAUAGUAGUGAGCAAUGUAAUGCUAGAAACUUCCAGAUAAAGCUCAUAAAGAAGGUGAGCUUCAAUACACUGAGUUCCCUUUGCAUGAGUGGUCAGGGGAAGCCAGCCAGCAUGGGCCAGAGUUUUGACGAUGGCAGGCUGUGGGCUGUGAGAGAAGUUUGUGCCCUGGUCUUGUUUACAGUUUGUCUGAGGCUUCUUGAGAUCAGCCCAGCCAGAUGGACUCUUCCUCUCAAAUAUCAGACCUGAUCUUUUCAAAUAAAACAGUACAAAGCACAUUAAAAGCUUUGAUCCAACUGUUUACUUUGCAUUUGUGUGUGUUGGGGGAAAUGGGGACAAAGGAAGGAUUUAUUAGGCCUUGCUGUGGGUGGCCAGUGCAACCACUGGGCAUGUUCGAGAAGAAAUGGGAGUGCUCGGAGCUGACAUACCGGAUCCAUGUCAACAUUUGGACACCCUGGUGUUCCAGCUGAAUUCCAUGGACUCGCCCCAUGAGCCUCCUACAUUUCAAUCUUCUCAUCCACAGUGGACCUUGAAGUUUAGCUGGUCAAUCCAUCCAUCCCUCUGCCUCAAGGCAGGUUGGAGUCAGACACCUUUUUUACGAUUCUCCUGGAAAAGAAGAUUCUCAUCUCUGGAUGAUGCCACCUUUCUUUUUCAUGAGUGUGUUGUACUUUCAAAACAUUUCACAUAAAUUAUUUGAUUUGCAUCCUUCUGAAGCAGAUGGUUAUGUAUUUUCUGCCUUUGUCUCUGUCUCUUUCUCACACACACACUCACACUCACAUAGACAUUUCUACUACAUAGAUCAGAAAACUGUCGAUAAUAGAAGGGAGAAAUCUUGAACUCCCAUUAUAUACCAGAAACUCUCAACAGAUGAUGUUGUUAAUCUUCUCAAAAGUCCCCUGAGGUAGGUACAGUUUGCCCAUUUUCGAGAUGAAAAGUUCUGCAGCUCAGAGAAGUUAAAAACUCUCUGGCUCAUUCCUAAUAGAUAUUGAUACUUAUUAUGACCGAAGGGGUGGAACUAAGAUUCAUGGAUUCCAAGGCCUGUUUGUCUGUCCUCAUCAGCAGGCUGGUCUCUUACUGCUUGCUGUUCUUUGGCUCCACAAAAACCCAGUGCAGAGAGGCGAUUGCUCUCAGAAAAUCCUCUUUUAUGUCUGUUUUCUUUUAUAUUUGCGUUCAUAGGGACAGAGAAGAUCUAAAAAGAAAGCUGCACUACAGGAUUUUUGAGAUCAGUAAAUAAAAGGAAAUUACAUGGGCAGAAUAGACAGUGUGCCAAAUGGAGUUUCAGGAACCUUAUUCUGUUUAGGAAUGAGAAGAUCACAAAAGAACUGCAGCUUUCCUUUAGCUCCACAGAAGAGCAACUACGAUUACUUAGUAAAUCUAGUGGAAGAAGUAUAUGGUAUCCCCAAGUGUGAAGACAGAACUGUCCUCUUAUUUCUCAGCCCUGGUCACCUUUCUGCCCUUGCUUUCCCCUCUCAUUCAGUCCCCAGAUAAAACUGUUGCACAUAAGCCCUUGGCCUCUGGAUAGUUCAGAGAUGGGCACUAGAGAGGAAAGGAAUUUAGAAAUUCCAGUACAAACACAGUACAGAAAGCUUCAUCGAUUGCACUGUCUAAGUGACUUUAAAGCUACUCAGAAAAAAAAAAGACAGUUAUUCUGAGAUUUCAAAAACAAGUGAGGCAUUUGGAAAAAAUAAAGAUAAAGCAUGAUGGUUGCAUGUUUAUCAAGUAGAAUUUUAAAAUAUCUUGUUGGGGGGGAAAAAAGAUCUAGGCACACAAAGGAACUCCUAAAUACUCACAGGCAUGGGAAAUAUUUUCUCUGCCUGUUACUAGUACAGGAUAAUCUCCAAGAAAAAAAAUGUCAUCUAGAUAUUCUAAACUGCAAAUGUCUUCCAAAGCCUGUUAAAUGUUCACAUAUGUCUUUAUGAAAUUUGUAAUAUGGAUUGUUUAUACACUCUUGAUUAUGGGCAUGGACACCAUUAAAAAGGAUCACAUCAGUGUAAAGAUGGAAAAUUAUAAAAUCAGAUAAAAUUGUAACCUACAAGAAAAAAGUGUGUAUUAAAAAAAUAUAAUAAUCUACAACUGUGUAUAUAUAUAAAAAAAUAAAUCAACAGCCAAAAGUGAGCUGUUAAAGACCCUUCUAACUUCUAUGAGGAAUUAACAAGGAAGUAAUUGACUCUCCCCCAAACAAAUCUGCCAUCACAUGUUUAUAGCAUUUUUGUCACUCUAUGAAAGCUGUAUCUUCUUUUUCAGCACCAAAAUGAGAGAUUUUACAUGGCAUUAGCUUGGCAUGCCUAUUUUUGGAUUUACUUUGUUAAAACAGAACUAAGUCAUAUGCUGUAAUACAGAAUAGGUUGGGUAGAGUAUAGCAAGGUAAGGAGGCUGACAGUGAGACAUCAUCAUAUACAUUUUGGAAAACUCUAUGUUAUUAUGUGACAUAAGACAUGCACAACAGGUUCAAGGUUAGUUCCCACUGAAAUUCAAAGUGUAUUGGGAAAUUGUCUUGUGAAGGGAUCAGAACACUCAAUACAUGCACAGUUUAAACCUUGCAACUCUCCUUUGUAAGGCAGAACAAUACCUCAGUCAUGGAUCUGGAAGAUGUAAGGCACCCAUAAGAUUAUACUGAGCGGAAGGCCUGGUUUUGUUUUUUUAUUGAAUCCAUCCCUUAGUAUUUUCCCAAUAAAACACCUCUCAUAAACCAGGGACUUUGUAUUUUUGUUGUUGUUAUGGGGAUUUAAAAAAAAAUACCAACAUAAUAGUUUUACUCUGCAGUAGUGAAGAUUUAAAGACAGCUGCUAGUAAACAUAAAACCAGCUAUAUAAUGGCAUUACAAUGGAUUUUUUAUUUGAGAUUCCAGGAUGGGGUAAAUUUGUUACCCUAACAAACAGCUGGUUACAUGGAAAUUGACUUCACAUAAUAGGGAACAUUCCCCUGGAAAAAGAAGGCAAUUUAUAUUGGUUAAAACACCAAGCAAUGACACACUUCCUUUUCUUUGUUACUUAUUAAAAAAAAAAAAAAAUGAAAACAACAACGAAAACUCCACCCAUGUAGUGUUUAGGUGUCAUGAGAACACUCCAGUAAAUCAUUCUUCUUCCAGGUGCCGUGGUCCUAGUCCUGGAGUGUUACAAAAGCACAAAUGAAUUUUCAGGUAUCCAGGAAGUCCCGAGUUGGAACAGGACAUUCUUUAAUCUUAUCUACAGUGAUCUGUCACCAGCAUCAUUUGAACUAAGCAAACUGAGGUCACCUGAUGUUCUUGCUUGUCUUUAUAACACAAGAAAAGACAAAUCUAAAAUAUCCAUGGGUGAAUUUCCAUGUAUUGCAACACCAUAUUAU
ensembl:lncRNA